AUUGAACGCUGGCGGCAGGCCUAACACAUGCAAGUCGAGCGAGCGGCGGACGGGUGAGUAAUGUCUGGGAAACUGCCUGAUGGAGGGGGGUAACUCCUGGAAACGGUAGCUAAUACCGCACACCAUCAGAUGUGCCCAGAUGGGAUUAGCUAGUAGGUGGGGUAACGGCUCACCUCGGCGACGAUCCCUAGCUGGUCUGAGAGGGUGACCAGCCACACUGGAAAUGAGACACGGGCCAGACUCCUACGGGAGGCAGGAGUGGGGAAUAUUGCCAAAUGGGCGCAAGCCUGAUGCAGCCAUGCCGCGUGUGUGAAGAAGGCCUUCGGGUUGUAAAGCACUUUCCGCGGGGAGGCGUUAACCGCAGAAGAAGCACCGGCUAACUCCGUGCCAGCAGCCGCGGUAAUAC
rnacentral:rRNA from 1 species